rnacentral:rRNA from 1 species
GACGAACGCUGGCGGCGUGCUUAACACAUGCAAGUCGAACGGACAGGCCCUGCUUUUGUUGCGUUCUCGAGUGGCGAACACGUGAGUAACACGUGAGUAACCUCCCCUUGUCUUUCGGGUAACUUCAGGAAACUCCGGCUCAUACCGCAUAGGAGCUCCUGCUGCGUGGUGGGGGUUGGAAAGUUUCGGCGGUUGUGGCUGGACUCGCGGCUUAUCCGCUUGUUGGUGGGGUAGUGGCUUACCAAGGCUUUGACGGGUAGCCGGCCUGAGAGGGUGACCGGCCACAUUGGGACUGAGAUACGGCCCAGACGCGUACGUGAGGCAGAAGGGGGGAAUAUGGCAGAAUGGGCGGAAGCGUGAUGCAGCAACGCCGCGUGCGGGAUGACGGCCUUCGGGGUGUAAACCGCUUUCUCCUGUGACGAAGCGUGAGUGACGGUAAUGGGUAAAGAAGCACCGGCUAACUACGUG